rnacentral:tRNA from 1 species
GCCGAGGUAGCUCAGGGGUAGAGCGCUUCCUUGGUAAGGAAGAGGUCGGGGGUUCAAUUCCCCUCCUUGGCU